rnacentral:rRNA from 1 species
CGCUGUGUAUUCUGCUCUUGCGGCGAAGUCCUGAUGCAGCCAUGCCGCGUGAGUGAUGAGGCCUUCGGGUUGUAAGCUCUUUUAUUAGGGACGAUGGGACGGGGCCUCUAUUUGCCUUUGUGGGAAAAUCGGAUUUGGGGGGAGAGGGGAA